AUAAAUAUUAUGAUAUAUCAAAAUAAGAGAAAAUGGCAACGAAUCGACAGCCACCAAUUGCGCACACGCGCACAGACAGAGCAAACAACACAAAGGUCGUUGGAUGGACGGGUACGUCUCACACUUAUACCUCCCUCUCCCGCUAGAAAUGCAGUUUAUGGACUGAAAAUAGAACAAUAGAGAAUCAGAAAAUAUUAGCUUAAUUUCGAUGAACAUGCAGAUUGAAGUAUCAUUUAAAGUGGGUGAAUUAUUUGUAGAUAUGUUCUUUGUAGGUACAGAUAUCUUUCUCGAAAAUACAUACCAUUAUUGGGAGGUAUCAAAGUGUGUACGGAAAUGGAGACACCCAUAAAAAUGUAGUAAAGAUAGUGUAUCCUCUACCUUCAGGACUGCAAAGGGUAAAAAAGAACAGGAGCCUGAAUCAAGAAAGGUAUUAUUGGUUGUUCGUAUGCAUUAUGCUCUCAUAAUAGAGAAAGAGAAGAUGCUGAUGUCCUUACAUUUUUUAGUCACUUUGACAUUUUCCUGUUAAUCCAGAAAAAAUGAAGCAUCAGUUGUUGGAUCAUCACCAAUGGAGAACACCCCUCGGCAACAGAAAAUAAUGAUUACAAACUAAUUGCAGGCACACUGUUAUAAAAUCAUCACAAUAUGCAAUAUCAAAAGUACAUUUAAAACGUUUGAAGGAGGUACCCUUGAUGACACAAAUUUGCAGCAGUAGAACAUGUGAGAGCCAUUCAGCCACCGGAAAGCUAUGCAUAAUCUAAUUUCAUUGUUUGCUGACAUUCUCACAAAUAGCUCAUGUGCACAAUCUCAAUCAAUAAAUACAUUGGAAGUUGGAAGGAGGAAGCAGGGUAGGUGAUCUGUGUGGAGGAGUUGGGGAAUAUCGACAAUGAGCUCAUUGUUGCUCAUUUUGGAAUAUGUUGAUCAUAAGAGGUCAACUGCAGAUCAGACCAUGCGGAUGAACAUAGUGUCUGUAUUUUUCAAAUAGUACUAGAUCAUUCUUGCACGCAGGGAAAUAAGGAUGUUGGGUUCAUGCUAUUCAAGAAAGAUAGUCUCCUUGCUGCAACCUUCGACCUAUAAAACCAAGCGUUGAAUGCCUUCUUCAGGUCGGUGAAUACGGCGUGCUCCGACUAAAGCCACUACGACAGUACCUCAGUCCCCUCCCCUUGUUCCCUUUCCAUGGAGCCGCCACCCACGCUUCUUUACCCUGUCCUUUGUCCUGAUAUAGGUCGCAGCGAGAUCUGAUCUUCCACACGCAUCUCCGAGGCGGGGAUAGGUCACAUCGCGAUUGGAUCUCUAUGGCAGACUGGAUCCCCUCGUUCAGGCAGAAUUGGUAGAACCGUGAGGUCGAGUCAUUGUGUCCUCUGCCGCGGGCAAUGGAGACCUUCGGGGAAGCCACUAACAGCGGCAACCUCCACACGACCUUCUCAAAUAAAACAUCAUGAUUUUC
rnacentral:lncRNA from 1 species